GAAGAUUCUAGGUGAUAAAUGAACGUCUUCAUUACUUUAGGCACCAGAGUCACGGGAGUGAACAAGAGACAAGGUCCCCACACUCCAGUGGGAGACAGUGAACAAAUAAACACUGCGGAGGCCACAAAAUGCCUGGAAGGAAAUAAGGAUGGGAGCACGAGGGGUGAAGGAUGGCUGCUUUUUGAUGUAGCACCAUCUGGACGCCUCCUUGGAUAAGCUCUUCUCCUGCCACGUGAGACCUGUUCUCCUUUCACCUUCGACCAUAACUGGAAGCUUCCUGAGUCCUCCCCAGAAGCAGAAGCAGAAGCAGAAGCAGAUGCCAGUGCCAUGCUUCCUGUACAGUCUGCUGAACCAUGAGUAAAUUAAAUCU
rnacentral:lncRNA from 13 species